rnacentral:snRNA from 1 species
AUACUUACCUGGCAGGGGAGAUACCAUGAUCACGAAGGUGGUUUUCCAGGGCGAGGCUUAUCCAUUGCACUCCGGAUGUCUGACCCUGCGAUUUCCCCAAAUGUGGGAAACUCGACUGCAUAAUUUGUGGUAGUGGGGGACUGCGUUCGCGCUUUCCCCUG